rnacentral:rRNA from 1 species
GAUGAACGCUGGCGGCGUGCUUAACACAUGCAAGUCGAGCGAAGCGGCUGAAUUGAUUCUUCGGAUGAUUUUCAGUUGACUGAGCGGCGGACGGGUGAGUAACGCGCGGGUGACCUGCCCCAUACCGGGGGAUAACAGCUGGAAACGGCUGCUAAUACCGCAUAAGCGCACAGAGCUGCAUGGCUCGGUGUAAAAAACUCCGGUGGUAUGGGAUGGGCCCGCGUCUGAUUAGGCAGUUGGCGGGGUAACGGCCCACCAAACCGACGAUCAGUAGCCGGCCUGAGAGGGCGACCGGCCACAUUGGGACUGAGACACGGCCCAAACUCCUACGGGAGGCAGCAGUGGGGAAUAUUGCACAAUGGGGGAACCCUGACGCAGCGACGCCGCGUGCGGGACGGAGGCCUUCGGGUCGUAAACCGCUUUCAGCANGGAAGAGUNCAGACUGUACCUGCAGAAGAAGCCCCGGCUAACUACGUGCCAGCAGCCGCGGUAAUACGUAGGGGGCGAGCGUUAUCCGGAUUCAUUGGGCGUAAAGCGCGCGUAGGCGGCCCGGCAGGCCGGGGGUCGAAGCGGGGGGCUCAACCCCCCGAAGCCCCCGGAACCUCCGCGGCUUGGGUCCGGUAGGGGAGGGUGGAACACCCGGUGUAGCGGUGGAAUGCGCAGAUAUCGGGUGGAACACCGGUGGCGAAGGCGGCCCUCUGGGCCGAGACCGACGCUGAGGCGCGAAAGCUGGGGGAGCGAACAGGAUUAGAUACCCUGGUAGUCCCAGCCGUAAACGAUGGACGCUAGGUGUGGGGGGACGAUCCCCCCGUGCCGCAGCCAACGCAUUAAGCGUCCCGCCUGGGGAGUACGGCCGCAAGGCUAAAACUCAAAGGAAUUGACGGGGGCCCGCACAAGCAGCGGAGCAUGUGGCUUAAUUCGAAGCAACGCGAAGAACCUUACCAGGGCUUGACAUAUGGGUGAAGCGGGGGAGACCCCGUGGCCGAGAGGAGCCCAUACAGGUGGUGCAUGGCUGUCGUCAGCUCGUGUCGUGAGAUGUUGGGUUAAGUCCCGCAACGAGCGCAACCCCCGCCGCGUGUUGCCAUCGGGUGAUGCCGGGAACCCACGCGGGACCGCCGCCGUCAAGGCGGAGGAGGGCGGGGACGACGUCAAGUCAUCAUGCCCCUUAUGCCCUGGGCUGCACACGUGCUACAAUGGCCGGUACAGAGGGAUGCCACCCCGCGAGGGGGAGCGGAUCCCGGAAAGCCGGCCCCAGUUCGGAUUGGGGGCUGCAACCCGCCCCCAUGAAGUCGGAGUUGCUAGUAAUCGCGGAUCAGCAUGCCGCGGUGAAUGCGUUCCCGGGCCU